rnacentral:pre_miRNA from 1 species
AAUUGAUGACGCCGUUGACUUUUUCUCACAUGUUUGACCAUUCGUCUUAUUCAAAAAUUUACGUAAUUAUAAUUUGUUUUGUUAUGAGUUGUUUUAUCAUUCAUAGUACUUUAAGUGUGAUUUAUAUCUUAUAUAUUUGUAUAAAAUUUUUAAAUAAGACGAAUGAUCAUACAUAUGAGAAAAAGUCAACUGCGUCAUCUAUU